AAUUCCUCUACAAAUACAAAUUGUUUCAAAUUUAUAAUAUUUCUAUCGAUUGUUAUUAAAUUAGAAUAUGGUUUUUAUUAAAUGCAGUUAAAAAAAAAAAUCAUGAAAUUUUAAAUAUACUAAUACAAAUCAAUGUUAUUAUAGUUUUUUUUAAGAUAAUAAUACACAAGAAGUAACUGGACUAUUUGAAAUUUUAAAAUUGUAGUUGCGUGUAAAAAUUUCAAAUAGUCUUGUUUUACCCUGAUUACAAUUGUAUUUAUUUAAUUUAAGUGUAGGUAUAUUUUUAAUUAUCUAUGGAUCUGUUAUCUAUCGAUGGAACUAAAUAUUAGGGAAAAUUAUAGUUUCUUGUUGUUAUAUUAUUAUUAUAUGAUAUUACUAUUCCCAU